AUUGGAGUUUAAUUUUACAGGGUUGACUCUUGCGAGUCUAAAGUAGAAGUGGUUACUCCRUAUUGGGCUUCUAACAGCGUUGGUAAGACAAGAGCGAUCGUUAACACCGAACACUUCGAACAAGCUAUUCAUCAAGAAGUCUGCACCAAAACGUUGACGGCACGCUGUUCAGGUGACUGUGGAUGCGAACAAAAGUAUAAAUGGCACAGACUGUUAGCGUACGAUCCCGACAACGACUGCAAAGGGAUAUUCAUGGAUUGGUUUUUGUUCCCGUCUUGCUGUGUGUGUCGAUGCGAAUCGGCAACCCCGAACAGUGUUUARCUGUUAAUCAUCAUUGUUCGUGCAUAUCAACUUCGUACUUAUUAUUACAUAUUAUAUACAUAUUACAUAUAGAUAUAUAUUUAUUAUCCUUUAGUAUAACUGUUUAAGAAUACUGAAUAAUACCUACGAUUAUAUUAUAAUUUUUCGUAUAUACAUAUAGAUAUUUAUAUAUUCAGUGCCUAUUUAAUAUAUAAUAUGCUUAUCCACGUACGUAUGUGUAAUGUUGCCAUACACACACACGCGCGUGUACAAGAUAUUUGUGUUUGGUCUUUGAAAUAAUCCUCUUAUGAAUAAUAAAUUAUGAUAUUUUAUAAGUAUCUUGUA